GAUGAACGCUGGCGGCGUGCCUAAUACAUACAAGUCGAGCGAAUGGAUUAAGAGCUUGCUCUUAUGAAGUUAGCGGCGGACGGGUGAGUAACACGUGGGUAACCUGCCCAUAAGACUGGGAUAACUCCGGGAAACCGGGGCUAAUACCGGAUAACAUUUUGAACCGCAUGGUUCGAAAUUGAAAGGCGGCUUCGGCUGUCACUUAUGGAUGGACCCGCGUCGCAUUAGCUAGUUGGUGAGGUAACGGCUCACCAAGGCAACGAUGCGUAGCCGACCUGGAAGGGUGAUCGGCCACGCUGGGACGGAGAAACCGCCCAGACUCCUACGGGAGGCAGCAGUAGGGAAUCUUCCGCAAUGGACGAAAGUCUGACGGAGCAACGCCGCGUGAGUGAUGAAGGCUUUCGGGUCGUAAAACUCUGUUGUUAGGGAAGAACAAGUGCUAGUUGAAUAAGCUGGCACCUUGACGGUACCUAACCAGAAAGCCACGGCUAACUACGUGCCAGCCGCCGCCGUAA
rnacentral:rRNA from 1 species